AGAGAAGCAGAAGGAAGCAAGAUGGCUGCCCUUUAGGAUUUGUUAGAAAGGAGACCCGACUGCAACUGCUGGAUUGCUGCAAGGCUGAGGGACGAGAACGAGGCUGGCAAACAUUCAGCAGCACACCCUCUCAAGAUUGUUUACUUGCCUUUGCUCCUGUUGAGUUACGACGCUUGGAAGCAGGAGAUGGGCUCAGCAUCAGCCAAUAGGACAUGAUCCAGGAAGAGCAGUAAGGGACUGAGCUGCUGCCCUCACCUUUGAAAAGCCUGAGCCUCUGAGACGUGAGAUGACUGCUGUAAAGUGAAGCAGUGAAUUUCUAGAGGCUGGGUUCACUCUUCGGGUCCUCUAAAUCCUAGGUCGCUUCCCACUACUACAUACUACCCUAAAAAAUCUGUAAUUCACAGUUUUAUUUUUUAAUCUUUUUCAUAACAUUACAUUUUUAUUGAACAAAUA
rnacentral:sRNA from 1 species